rnacentral:rRNA from 1 species
UACGUAGGGGGCAAGCGUUGUCCGGAUUUAUUGGGCGUAAAGAGCUCGUAGGUGGUUCGGUAAGUCGGAUGUGAAAUCUCCAGGCUCAACCUGGAGGGGUCAUUCGAUACUGCCGUGACUAGAGUUCGGUAGGGGAGUGUGGAAUUCCUGGUGUAGCGGUGAAAUGCGCAGAUAUCAGGAGGAACACCAAUGGCGAAGGCAGCUCGCUGGGACGGUACUGACGCUGAGACGCGAAAGCGUGGGGAGCAAACAGG